UGUGAGGGGCCACUCAGUCAUUCUGCUCAUGUCAGUGGGAGACUUUAUAGCAUUACAGGGUGUGCAAAAAAUUUAGGGUGUUAUCUGGGAUGUUAACAGAUCCUCAGAGGAAGUGACAGACAGGCCUUUUACUUGAAGUGAAAUCACUUUUGGGAGGUAUUUCCUGAGGACGUCUCAUUCACUCACGUGGUAUCUGGCACCCUGGGCUGUGGGAUUGCAUGUGGAAUAAAUGAAGUCUUCGGACCUCGGGAUUCAACCUACAAAUUCUGGGGUCACAGACAUGCAGACCAUGGCUACCCCACCUGAGCACUAAGUGGCCUGUGAACCGGAAGAGUUUCCUGCAGGACAGCUGGGUCAGCCAUGGACAUCAGACCCCUGUGGAAGGUCCGGGGAUCAGACUCUCCCCAUCCUGGUGUCUGGAAGCACAGGUGAGCCAGGAGACCCAUUGAUCCCCUAGAGCCCCAGCUCGGU
rnacentral:lncRNA from 1 species